rnacentral:rRNA from 1 species
GCUUCGGAUUAGAUUAUGGCUCAAGUCUCCAGGAAUGGAGCAUCAAAGAGGGUGAUAAUCCCGUAUCAGCCGACAUAUCUGUCCAUGUGAAGCCCUUUCAACGAGUCGAGUUGUUUGGGAAUGCAGCUCUAAAUGGGAGGUAAAUUUCUUCUAAAGCUAAAUAUCAGCCAGAGACCGAUAGCGAACAAGUAGAGUGAUCGAAAGAUGAAAAGCACUUUGAAAAGAGAGUUAAAAAGCACGUGAAAUUGUUGAAAGGGAAGCGCAAGCCACCAGACUUGUUUGUGUUGUUCAGCCUUCUGAAAAGUCGGUGCAUUCUUCACGAAUAGGCCAACAUCGGUUUCUGGGGUUGGAUAAAGACUUAUGGAAAGUAGCUUCCUCCGGGAAGUGUUAUAGCCUGAGUGCAAUGCGACCACCGGGGACCGAGGAACGCGCUUUUGCGAGGAUGUUGGCAUAAUGGUUGUUUGCGACCCGUCUUGAAACACGGACCAAGGAGUUGUGAAAUCUCGCGAGCAUUUGGGUGUAAAACCCAUCUGCGUAAUGAAAGUGAACGUUGGUAGGAACUUUAUUGUGCACUAUCGACCGACCUGAAUUCGUGAGGGUUUGAGUAAGAGCGAGAUUUCACUGACCCGAAAGAAGGUGAACUAUUCCUGACUAGGGUGAAGCCAGGAGAAAUCCUGGUGGAGGCUCGCAGCGGUUCUGACGUGCAAAUCGAUCGUCAAAGCUGGGAAUAGGGGCGAAAGACUAAUCGAACCUUCUAGUAGCUGGUUCCUGUCGAAGUUUCCCUCAGGAUAGCAGUAACGAUAACAGUCUCAUGAGGUAGAGCAACGAUUGGAAGCCUGGGGGAAGAAACUUCCUUCACUUACUCUCGAACUCCGAAUAUGUGAGAAGU